rnacentral:rRNA from 1 species
UACGUAGGCAGCAAGCGUUGUUCGGAGUUACUGGGCGUAAAGGGUGUGUAGGCGGUCGGAUAAGUUUGGUGUGAAAUCUCCCGGCUCAACUGGGAGGGUGCGCUACAAACUGUCUGGCUAGAGUGCGGGAUGGGAAAGUGGAAUUCCUGGUGUAGCGGUGAAAUGCGUAGAUAUCAGGAGGAACACCGGUGGUGUAGACGGCUUUCUGGACCGUAACUGACGCUGAAACACGAAAGCGUGGGUAGCAAACAGG